GGGAAGAUGGCCGAGCGGUUAUGGCGCUACGUUCAGGUCGUAGUAGGGUAACCUGCGUGGGUUCGAGUCCCACUCUUCUCA
rnacentral:tRNA from 2 species